GAAUCUUGAUUGGAGAGAAGCUGUGCCACACCCAGAUGAUCGUGUGGAGUAUGAGCUCUGGACAAGUAGCAAUGAUGAAUGUGGCUUCAAAUGUGACAUGUUGAUGAAAUAUGUCAAAGAUUUCAAAGGUGCAGCACAAAUUCUCGAGAAAGGUGGAUAUACUCAAUUCACACCGCAUUAUAUUACUUGGUAUUGCCCUCAGGCAUUCACUGUCAGCAAGCAAUGCAAGUCUCAAUGUAUCAACCAUGGAAGAUAUUGUGC
rnacentral:misc_RNA from 1 species